rnacentral:misc_RNA from 1 species
CGUGAGUGGUGCUUGGCANGUCUGGGUUGGUCGGAUCCCUGCUUGUGCAGCGACGGCCGCUCUUUCGUUCCUUUUCAUUCUUGCUCCAAGAGCAGUAUGCCUUGGACCAACUCGGUUGCCUGUGUUGUAUACCUACGUUGAUGGAAUUCGCUCGUACAAUCGCCCCUAAUUCACCUUGUGCUGCUCACGCGGUGCGGGAUGAACCCUGAAGUGUCCUUUGCUGUCCAUUAUUGCCUCGCGUUUGCGCGUCGCAUGAAAUGGCCAACGUUGUGGCACUCGAAGUCUCGGAUACAGAACCUUAAGCGGGUAAAGGGUCUUUGGCCUCGAUUUGCCCAAACUAAGCGUUCUCGCUUCUUACGAACGACUGUCGUGCCCGUUUUGACCUGAGGAUACUUUCGGUCCGACCGGCUCAUGCGGUGCCGACGUCGAAGAGGAAUGCUACCUGGUUGA